AGAAACCGAAUUAUUAAUCGAAAACUUCCAUCACAUAACACGCCAACAUGAUGAGCGUCUCGAAGUGCUGUGUGCUUUGCGUGGUGUUAGGACUGUUUAGUUCCAAUUUAGUCGAAGCAUUGUCAGUAGCGUGUGCAAUCGACGGCGGAACUUAUUAUAUAGGUGUCGGAGAAAAAUGGGUCUCACCAACGGACCCUUGUCGUAAGUGCGUAUGCAAAGAAGGAGGACAUCUCGCCUGCUUAUCCGACUCUUGCGCCAGGCCUCAGUGUCCGGCCGGGAUGGAAGUGGAAAGAUCCAAGACCGAAUGUUGCGAAUACACAUGUUUAAGGAAAUAAGGCAGCCAAAAGUUCAACCCACAAGUGCAGAUCGGAGGACAUAUGUUCGUCUGUCCAUGUCUUUGUCGGAAGGAUAACAAAUAAAUGGUCAUUCAGCUG